rnacentral:rRNA from 1 species
UCCAGACUCCUACGGGAGGCAGCAGUGAGGAAUAUUGGUCAAUGGGCGCAGGCCUGAACCAGCCAAGUCGCGUGAGGGAAGACUGCCCUAUGGGUUGUAAACCUCUUUUAUAAGGGAAGAAUAAUGACUACGUGUAGUCAGAUGCCCGUACCUUAUGAAUAAGCAUCGGCUAACUCCGUGCCAGCAGCCGCGGUAAUACGGAGGAUGCGAGCGUUAUCCGGAUUUAUUGGGUUUAAAGGGUGCGUAGGCGGAUUUUUAAGUCAGCGGUAAAAUGUCCGGGCUCAACCCGGGCCGGCCGUUGAAACUGGGGAUCUUGAGUGGGCGAGAAGUAUGCGGAAUGCGUGGUGUAGCGGUGAAAUGCAUAGAUAUAACUUAGAACUCCGAUAGCGAAGGCAGCUUACCAGACUGCGACUGACGCUGAAGCACGAGAGCGUGGGUAGCGAACAGGAUUAGAUACCCGCGUA